UCCUACGGGAGGCAGCAGUGGGGAAUAUUGGACAAUGGGCGAAAGCCUAAUCCAGCCACGUCGCAUGAGUGAAGAAGGCCUUUGGGUUGUAAAGCUCUUUUAGUGAGGAAGAUAAUGACGGUACUCACAGAAGAAGUCCUGGCUAACUCCGUGCCAGCAGCCGCGGUAAUACAA
rnacentral:rRNA from 1 species